AGGUUUAAUAAUAAGCUAUAUCCAGAUCAAUAGAGUCCAAGUUCUUAUGAAAUGCAAAACUGCUGGUUUAUUCCAGUUUAGAGAUUCUUUCCUUCUUAUUUUGGACACUGCGAUAUGGAGAGGAAUGAAGUUGUUGCACUGGUGAUCUAUGUCGAAUUCAUCUGUACCACGCGAGUUACUUAUUUAAUGUUCGUAAUAUAUAUGACAUUGAGUAGCUUUCUUGGUGUGCCGGAUCACACAAUUUACAUGUUGAUAUGGCGCUGAAAAUAUUCUGAUGCUCAAUUGACAACCUCUAGGAUCUCCUUUGCUGUUCUCAAAUUAUUUUCGUUCUUUUCAACUUGGCCACAUGUGAAAUACACCAUAUUGAUGGGGACUCAGAAAGCUUCUAUUUCAGUUUGAUAUUAUUUCCAAUAAGUAUAUCAGCCAAGGCAAAGGUUUAAUUAAUUAUGUUUUGGUAAGUAUGACUUAUUUUGUUAUGAAGCCUGCAGAUGGCUUCGGGGUUUUGUUUGUUGUCCUAACAAAUGACCAUAACAUCUUUAGGGUCACUUACAAAAUGCAGCAUUAAAAUGAGGUAUGGUUCUGCUAUGUGUACUCUGUCAGUUGUUACAACUGUGGCCACUAUCCCUUCCUAUAAUUUUCUGAGUUGAGUCACGCGCAAAAUCCAGCUGUCCGGGCAGCCCGGUGCACUAAGCUCUUGCUAUGCGCGGGGUUCGGAAAAUGACCAAAUUACAAGGGUUGAUUGUACGUAGCCUUACCAAGCAUUUUUGCAAUAUGUUAUUUUCACGGCUCAAACCCGUGAUCUCUUGAUUGGCAGCAACUUUAUCAGUUACGCCAAGGCUCCCCUUCAAAAUCUAGCUACCUUAGUAAACACAUUCCAGCAUUUCAUAGUGAGCAUUGUGCGCAGUGGCGACGUUCCAAAUGCGACAUAAUUUGAGUGGUUUCUCUCAUGGGCAAAUUACUAUUCGAGCAUGCAAACUAAAAAAACACUGAGGAUAUUGAAAGACUUUAAAUUUUAUUUAGUGAGGAAUACAUCUUAUAUAUGGUGAGGGUAACUUGAACAUUGAAGAUUUUGUUGGACAUCGACAAAGAUAUCAGAUGGCAUCUAUUCGUGUAGAAAAGUGGUUGGGAGGAGGUAAUGUUUCAACUUGUGGUGGUUGACAUGACCUUAAUCAAAGAGCAUUAUUCUUGGGACCAUCAAAGUUAAGUCUAGUUUAAACACUCGACUAUAUAUAUAUAUCGAGUAGGCAAAAAUAAUGUAAUAUAGCCAUACACCUCUCUUUGUUUGCCCUUUUUCUCCUGUGGCAUUGACUGGCUGUUUUUUUUUUUUUGGGUUAAAUUUCAGCAAACUUAUAAUUAUUACACGUAUUUUUCAACUGGAAAUUUGAGUAAUAUAUUUCUCACUUUUUGCAUAGAAUAGCUUAUCAGUGGUAACAUGUACUAACUCUUUAUAACAAUUGUAAUCACCUUAUAAGUGACGGUAUAACUUUUUUAUUAUUAUUAUACAUAGAACUAAACUCUUCCUCCUUAGGGUCUAAAAUAAUUGCGCCAACCGAAGGCACUUAAGUGCUCCUCCCUUAACCAGAGGUUUUGAGUUCGAGUCCUGGGUACGAAAAAAUCCUUGGUAGGGAGCACUUCCCCUCGAAUGGGGCCCUAUGCGGCACGAAUUCGAAUAUAGUCGAGCUCCAAUACGGGUACCGGACACCGGGUGAAAAACCAAAAAAAAA
rnacentral:lncRNA from 1 species